rnacentral:misc_RNA from 1 species
AUUCCUUCGCGUCUUCACCCCAUAUCUCCUUAUCAUAAUGUACUAGGAUUGUGGGUAUAAUAAGUAGCACUCCAGCUGGUAGAUUUAGCUCCCUCAAUUUCACUUCCUCUUCAGUCCUUCUACCAAAUAUUGGCAAUGGAGGGAAUAGCCUUAACGUCUCGUACAAAAUCAUCGUUACAAUUUUUAAGCGAUUUAGGCCUUCCAAAUCUGGUUUAUUAUUUCCAAA